rnacentral:rRNA from 1 species
AUACGGAGGGUGCAAGCGUUAUUCGGAAUCACUGGGCGUAAAGGACGCGUAGGCGGGUUGGCAAGUCAGAUGUGAAAUCCUACAGCUUAACUGUAGAACUGCAUUUGAAACUGCUAACCUAGAGUAUGGGAGGGGGAGAUGGAAUUAGUGGUGUAGGGGUAAAAUCCGUAGAUAUCACUAGGAAUACCGAAAGCGAAGGCGAUCUCCUGGAACAUAACUGACGCUAAGGCGUGAAAGCGUGAGGAGCAAACAGGAUUAGAAACCCUAGUAGUCC